GGUGGUAUAGUAAUCCCGGGAUAACUUAUCCCGGGAUAAAAUAGGUAAAUGACAAAAAUGUCUCUUUCAACCCUUUUGUUAUAUCACUUUUUACAUUAAUGAAGGGCAUUUUUGUAAACAAAUAAAUUGUUCUUAAAAUUUAUUAUUUUGAAUACAACAAACCAAACACUCAAUAAAAAAAUAAUCCCAACACAACUUAUCC
rnacentral:lncRNA from 1 species